rnacentral:rRNA from 1 species
GAUGAACGCUGGCGGCACGCUUAACACAUGCAAGUCGAACGAGAGAAGAGGAGCUUGCUUUUCUGAUCUAGUGGCGGACGGGUGAGUAACACGUGAGCAAUCUGCCUUUCAGAGGGGGAUACCGAUUGGAAACGAUCGUUAAUACCGCAUAAUAUAAUUGAACCGCAUGAUUUGAUUAUCAAAGAUUUAUCGCUGAAAGAUGAGCUCGCGUCUGAUUAGCUAGUUGGUAAGGUAACGGCUUACCAAGGCGACGAUCAGUAGCCGGACUGAGAGGUUGAUCGGCCACAUUGGGACUGAGACACGGCCCAGACUCCUACGGGAGGCAGCAGUGGGGAAUAUUGCACAAUGGAGGAAACUCUGAUGCAGCGAUGCCGCGUGAGGGAAGAAGGUUUUAGGAUUGUAAACCUCUGUCUUCAGGGACGAAAAAAGACGGUACCUGAGGAGGAAGCUCCGGCUAACUACGUGCCAGCAGCCGCGGUAAUACGUAGGGAGCGAGCGUUGUCCGGAAUUACUGGGUGUAAAGGGAGCGUAGGCGGGAUCGCAAGUCAGAUGUGAAAACUAUGGGCUUAACCCAUAAACUGCAUUUGAAACUGUGGUUCUUGAGUGAAGUAGAGGUAAGCGGAAUUCCUAGUGUAGCGGUGAAAUGCGUAGAUAUUAGGAGGAACAUCAGUGGCGAAGGCGGCUUACUGGGCUUUAACUGACGCUGAGGCUCGAAAGCGUGGGGAGCAAACAGGAUUAGAUACCCUGGUAGUCCACGCCGUAAACGAUGAUUACUAGGUGUGGGGGGACUGACCCCUUCCGUGCCGCAGCAAACGCAAUAAGUAAUCCACCUGGGGAGUACGACCGCAAGGUUGAAACUCAAAGGAAUUGACGGGGGCCCGCACAAGCAGUGGAGUAUGUGGAUUAAUUCGAAGCAACGCGAAGAACCUUACCAGGUCUUGACAUCGUAUGCAUAGCUCAGAGAUGAGUGAAAUCUCUUCGGAGACAUAUAGACAGGUGGUGCAUGGUUGUCGUCAGCUCGUGUCGUGAGAUGUUGGGUUAAGUCCCGCAACGAGCGCAACCCUUACUGUUAGUUGCUACGCAAGAGCACUCUAGCAGGACUGCCGUUGACAAAACGGAGGAAGGUGGGGAUGACGUCAAAUCAUCAUGCCCCUUAUGACCUGGGCCUCACACGUACUACAAUGGCUGUCAACAGAGGGAAGCAAAGCCGCGCGG